rnacentral:rRNA from 1 species
AGAGUUUGAUCCUGGCUCAGGACGAACGCUGGCGGCGCGCCUAACACAUGCAAGUCGAACGGAGCUGAGAGGAGCUUGCUUUUCUUAGCUUAGUGGCGAACGGGUGAGUAACGCGUGAGUAACCUGCCCUGGAGUGGGGGACAACAGUUGGAAACGACUGCUAAUACCGCAUAAGCCCACGGCCCGGCAUCGGGCUGAGGGAAAAGGAUUUAUUCGCUUCAGGAUGGACUCGCGUCCAAUUAGCUAGUUGGUGAGGUAACGGCCCACCAAGGCGACGAUUGGUAGCCGGACUGAGAGGUUGAACGGCCACAUUGGGACUGAGACACGGCCCAGACUCCUACGGGAGGCAGCAGUGGGGGAUAUUGCACAAUGGGGGAAACCCUGAUGCAGCGACGCCGCGUGGAGGAAGAAGGUUUUCGGAUUGUAAACUCCUGUCGUUAGGGACGAUAAUGACGGUACCUAACAAGAAAGCACCGGCUAACUACGUGCCAGCAGCCGCGGUAAAACGUAGGGUGCAAGCGUUGUCCGGAAUUACUGGGUGUAAAGGGAGCGCAGGCGGACCGGCAAGUUGGAAGUGAAAACUAUGGGCUCAACCCAUAAAUUGCUUUCAAAACUGCUGGCCUUGAGUAGUGCAGAGGUAGGUGGAAUUCCCGGUGUAGCGGUGGAAUGCGUAGAUAUCGGGAGGAACACCAGUGGCGAAGGCGACCUACUGGGCACCAACUGACGCUGAGGCUCGAAAGCAUGGGUAGCAAACAGGAUUAGAUACCCUGGUAGUCCAUGCCGUAAACGAUGAUUACUAGGUGUUGGAGGAUUGACCCCUUCAGUGCCGCAGUUAACACAAUAAGUAAUCCACCUGGGGAGUACGACCGCAAGGUUGAAACUCAAAGGAAUUGACGGGGGCCCGCACAAGCAGUGGAGUAUGUGGUUUAAUUCGAAGCAACGCGAAGAACCUUACCAGGUCUUGACAUCCGAUGCAUAGUGCAGAGAUGCAUGAAGUCCUUCGGGACAUCGAGACAGGUGGUGCAUGGUUGUCGUCAGCUCGU